GGAAACAUGGAGACCUUGUCUCCUCAGCUGUCAAAUCAGAGUAAGAGGAAGAGCACAGGCCUUGCCUUCCUGGUGCGAUUGUUGUCAUGAGUGGAGGGGCCAGAAAUGGCAAAAUAUUUAGAGUCUGGCAACCUGGGUGUGAAUCCCAGCUCUUCCCAUCCUAACUCUGUGCCUUCGGGACAAGAGCAACUCUAAUACUGAGUAUUUGUCAGGCCUGGGUCCCAGUGAAAGCUCUUCAUGUGUAUUUUCCUGCUUAAACCUUAUGACAACCCAGUAGGUGGAUAUCAUGGUACCCUUUUUGUAGAUUAAGAAACAAAGGCUCAGAGAGGCUGAAACACUUAUCUCAGGUAACACAGCUAAGGGGCAGAGCCAGGCCCAUCUUACCUGAAGUUUGAGCUGCAUUCUUCCCCCUCCCCACUGACCUACCCACGUGGAUACAGGGCUUCCUCAUUGAGGACUACUAGGCUUAUUCACACCCACUGUCCAGGCUCAUUCUGAGAGAGAUGGAGGGAAGUCACACCAGAAGAGGUCACAACAGAUAUCAGCCAGGACAGCCCAGCUCUGUGCGGAGCAGAACCAAGGCCCCAGAGCCUUCAGAGCAGCCCAUUUCCUGGUGUUCCUGCUGCUUGCCUCUCCCCUCCCCACCUUUCCCCUGCAGCCUCAGUUCCUUGGUCCUCUGGGCUUUCCAAAGCAGCAGGGCUGGCAGGCUCCUCACUGCCCCCAGGGGGAGAAAUGGCCUGGAAAGGGCACCAGUAUGAAUGGCCAUACUGAGACAAUCAUAUUUGCCAAGCCCCUGACCCCCCAAAGUCCUCGCCUUGGUCAGCUCUCAGGUCAGUGUCUUCUGCCAGUCCUUCUAACCUGGCUCCCCUCUUCUUCACCCCUUGGCCUACUCCUGACACACUGACCUUCCUCUUUGCCAAUCUUCAAAGCUUUCAAGUUCUUCUCCUCUCAGGGAUUUUAUACUUAAACUUCUUUCUGCUCCCCCCACCCACACCUCCCAGCCAUCCUUCACGUGGCUCUCUCUGCUUUUAUAUCACCUCCUCCAUGCAGCCCUCCCUGAUCACCCUGCCUAAAGUAGCCACCUUUAUGCCAGCUGCUUCAAUCUCUUUACCUUGCUUUACUUUCCUUCAUGGCUCUUAUUUUUAUUCCCAUCUAAAAGUGUAUUUUUAUUAUGUUUAUGUCUUUCUCCUCCGACUGGAACUCUCGGGGCAGGGAUAGUGUCUAUUUUGUUCACUUCUGUAUGUGCAGCAUCAACAACACCGCCAGAACAUGGUAGGAUCCCCCCAAAUAUUGCUGAAUAUAUAAGUGAAUAAAAGAAUGAAAAUCUCCCUCUAGAAACUGGCGGGGGCUGCAUAAAGGAGUCAAGGACCACCGCAGUCAACGGGAGGAGAGGGCUCUCCAGGAAGUCACACAGUGGGAGAGGCUGGAGCAGGCACAGCCCAGGUCCAGGAGGCAGGAGACCUGGGUCUUGCCCUGCCACCUGCCAUCAGCAUCCCAGGAAACUUGCAGAGACACAUCUAACUUCCCUGCACCUCAAUCUCUGGUGCUGGAAAACUGGGACUCACUGUUCAGAUGCGAGGUGGGUUGAGGAAAGGAGAAGGUGCUGGUGAUGAAGAGGGCCUUGGAAUGAGAGUCGGGGUCACACUGGCUACAACUUCUCCCGUUCUCUGCUUGAAGCUCCUUUAUGAUUGGAGAGGCUGGCAAGUGAGGGAGGCAAGACCAUCAGCUCUGGAGUCCGACGGCCCAGGUUUCAGAUCCCAGUUCUACAACUUACUGACCUGUUUCAGUUUCCCCAUCUGCAAAAGAGAUUAAAAAACAAAACAAAACAAAACAAAAAACAA